GCUGCCCGGUGGUGCGGGUGCUGCGCUCCGGUGCGGCGCCGGACGACCCGGUGUCGGGGCUGGCGGUCCGGGCGCCGACCGGGCAGUG
rnacentral:tRNA from 1 species